CAUUGGAUACAGGUGGUGCAUGGUCGUCGUCAGCUCGUGUCGUGAGAUGUUGGGUUAAGUCCCGCAACGAGCGCAACCCUUGUUAUUAGUUGCCAGCAUUUAGUUGGGCACUCUAAUGAGACUGCCGGUGAUAAACCGGAGGAAGGUGGGGACGACGUCAGAUCAUCAUGCCCCUUAUGACCUGGGCAACACACGUGCUACAAUGGGAAGUACAACGAGUCGCAAACCGGCGACGGUAAGCUAAUCUCUUAAAACUUCUCUCAGUUCGGACUGGAGUCUGCAACUCGACUCCACGAAGGCGGAAUCGCUAGUAAUCGCGAAUCAGCAUGUCGCGGUGAAUACGUUCCCGGGUCUUGUACACACCGCCCGUCAAAUCAUGGGAGUCGGAAGUACCCAAAGUCGCUUGGCUAACUUUUAGAGGCCGGUGCCUAAGGUAAAAUCGAUGACUGGGAUUAAGUCGUAACAAGGUAGCCGUAGGAGAACCUGCGGCUGGAUCACCUCCUUUCUAAGGA
rnacentral:rRNA from 1 species